GUUGGGCGCGGUGGCUCACGCCUGUAAUCCCAGCACUUUGGGAGACUGAGGCAGGAGGAUCACCUGAGGUCAGGAGUUCGAGACCAGCCUGGCCAACAUGGUGAAACCCUGUCUCUA
rnacentral:SRP_RNA from 1 species